GGGGAAUUAGCUCAAGUGGUAGAGCGCUCGCUUCGCAUGCGAGAUGUAGCGGGAUCGAUACCCGCAUUCUCCA
rnacentral:tRNA from 1 species